rnacentral:rRNA from 1 species
AUACGUAGGGGGCGAGCGUUGUCCGGAAUUACUGGGCGUAAAGGGCGUGUAGGCGGUUUGUCAAGUCAGGUGUGAAAUUUUAAGGCUCAACCUUAAGACUGCGCCUGAAACUGGCAGGCUUGAGGGCAGGAGAGGAGAGCGGAAUUCCCAGUGUAGCGGUGAAAUGCGUAGAUAUUGGGAGGAACACCAGUGGCGAAGGCGGCUCUCUGGACUGUACCUGACGCUGAGGCGCGAAAGCGUGGGGAGCAAACAGGAUUAGAUACCCUGGUAGUCCACGCUGUAAACUAUGGGUGCUAGGUGUUGGGGGUAUCGAACCCCCCAGUGCCGCAGCAAACGCAAUAAGCACCCCGCCUGGGGAGUACGGCCGCAAGGCUGAA